rnacentral:rRNA from 3 species
AAUUCACUAGUGAUUAGAGUUUGAUCGGUAAAAGGAUGAACGCUGGCGGCGUGCUUAACACAUGCAAGUCGAACGAACCUUCGGGUUAGUGGCGGACGGGUGAGUAACGCGUGGGAAUCUACCCUCAGGAGGGGGAUAACGGCUGGAAACGGCCGCUAAUACCCCAUAUGCCGAGAGGUGAAAUGAAUUUCGCCUGAGGAUGAGCCCGCGUCUGAUUAGCUAGUUGGUGUGGUAAUGGCUCACCAAGGCUUCGAUCAGUAGCUGGUCUGAGAGGAUGAUCAGCCACACUGGGACUGAGACACGGCCCAGACUCCUACGGGAGGCAGCAGUGGGGAAUUCUCCGCAAUGGGCGAAAGCCUGACGGAGCAACGCCGCGUGAGGGAUGAAGGCCUCUGGGCUGUAAACCUCUUUUCUCAAGGAAGAAGAUAUGACGGUACUUGAGGAAUAAGCCACGGCUAAUUCCGUGCCAGCAGCCGCGGUAAUACGGGAGUGGCAAGCGUUAUCCGGAAUUAUUGGGCGUAAAGCGUCCGCAGGCGGCCUCUCAAGUCUGCUGUUAAAACGUGGAGCUUAACUCCAUCAAGGCAGUGGAAACUGUUGGGCUUGAGUGUGGUAGGGGCAGAGGGAAUUCCCGGUGUAGCGGUGAAAUGCGUAGAUAUCGGGAAGAACACCAGUGGCGAAGGCGCUCUGCUGGGCCAUAACUGACGCUCAUGGACGAAAGCCAGGGGAGCGAAAGGGGAUUAGAUACCCCUGUAGUUCCUGGCCGUAAACGAUGAACACUAGUGUCGGGGGAAUCGACCCCCUCGGUGUCGUAGCCCAACGCGUUAAGUGUUCCGCCUGGGGAGUACGCACGCAAGUGUGAAACUCAAAGGAAUUGACGGGGGGCCCGCACAAGCGGGUGGGAGUAUGUGGUUUAAUUCGAUGCAACGCGAAGAACCUUACCAGGGUUUGACAUCCUGCGAACCUCUAAGAAAUUGGAGGGUGCCUUCGGGGAACGCAGUGACAGGUGGUGCAUGGCUGUCGUCAGCUCGUGUCGUGAGAUGUUGGGUUAAGUCCCGCAACGAGCGCAACCCACGUUUUUAGUUGCCAGCAUUCAGUUGGGCACUCUAGAGAGACCGCCGGUGAUAAACCGGAGGAAGGUGUGGAUGACGUCAAGUCAUCAUGCCCCUUACAUCCUGGGCUACACACGUACUACAAUGCUACGGACAAAGGGCAGCAAACUCGCGAGAGCUAGCAAAUCCCAUAAACCGUGGCUCAGUUCAGAUCGUAGGCUGCAACUCGCCUACGUGAAGGAGGAAUCGCUAGUAAUCGCAGGUCAGCAUACUGCGGUGAAUACGUUCCCGGGCCUUGUACACACCGCCCGUCACACCAUGGAAGUUGGCCACGCCCGAAGUCGUUACUCCAACCCUUGUGGAGGAGGACGCCGAUAAUGGGGCUGAUGACUGGGGUGAAGUCGU